CUUCCACAGUCCCUCUGUGCAGUGUUAAUUUUGGCUGCAAAUUUCAAUUUAUUUUUAGUCAUAGUCUUUUGACUAGAAUGUCAUUUUAGUUUUAGUCAUCUGAAUUGUUUUAGUUUUAGUUGACUAAAAUUUGAUUAAAAUUGUUAGUCGACAAAAUUAACACUGCUGUGCAUACACAUUAUACAUAGGGUGCAUACACACAGCCACUAUUGCUUACAAUGUCACCAUAGUCCACACUGCCACUAUAGCUGCAACUAUAACCUACACCAGGCUUCCCCAAACUCCCUCCCUCCAGAUGUUGCUGAACUAUGAAUGAAAUAGAUAGGCUGAGAAUCAUGGGAGUUGUAGUUCAGCAACAUCUGGAGGGUCGUAGUUUUGGGAAGCUUGAUCUACACUGUCACUGUAGCGCUCUUUUAGAAAUGAGACGUGUCUGUCAGUAAUAAUUGCUCGUGCUUGGUCUCUGUGUCUGUCCUGUACAGUGUGUUUAUGAUCCUAUCUCUCUGCACGUCCUCUUUGUUGCUAUGCAGCCAUUUUGUCUUUGAGGAGUAAUGUUUUCGUUCUUAUUAAGUCAGUCUGUUCCUGUUAAACACUAAGCAGUUCUGUCAUAUUUCGCAAUGACCCCAAUGGUGACUUUGCUGUUUGCAGUGAGGACGCUUCGGUGUGCAGAGAAAGUUUGAUUUACCUGAUCCUGUCCCUUGUGGCUACCGCCAUG